CUCUCCCGUCAAAUAGAAGCCAAGUCUUGAGCUUGGAGUGAAAGCUGACACACACCUUCAACUCUUUAGGAGUUAGGUAUCUGAAGUGGAGUGGAUGGAG
rnacentral:miRNA from 1 species